rnacentral:misc_RNA from 1 species
GAUGAAGAACGUAGCAAAAUGCGAUAAGUAAUGUGAAUUGCAGAAUUCAGUGAAUCAUCGAAUCUUUGAACGCACAUUGCGCCCGCCAGUAUUCUGGCGGGCAUGCCUGUUCGAGCGUCAUUUCAACCCUCAAGCACAGCUUGGUGUUGGGACUCGCGUUAAUUCGCGUUCCUCAAAUUGAUUGGCGGUCACGUCGAGCUUCCAUAGCGUAGUAGUAAAACCCUCGUUACUGGUAAUCGUCGCGGCCACGCCGUUAAACCCCAACUUCUGAAUGUUGACCUCGGAUCAGGUAGGAAUACCCGCUGAACUUAAGCAUAGCAAUAAGCGGAGGA